GCCUUCGUGAUGUAAUGGUCAGCACACUGAGCCGGUAUUUCAGAGGUCCGUGGUUCGAUUCUCGGCGAAGGAA
rnacentral:tRNA from 1 species